rnacentral:rRNA from 1 species
GAGCGCACGCCGCCUUCGGGGUGUUCCGGCGUCGUAGUCGUGCACUUCUCCCCUAGUAGAACGUCGCGACCCGUUGCGUGUCGGUCUACGGCCCGAGCGGCAGCCUGUCCCGUUUGCGCCUCGCGGCGCGCGUGGACAGACCCUCGGUCGCCCGGCCGGCUGCGCGACGGUACUCGCACGGUAUCGGGCCGCACCGUUUCUCGCGCGUGCGUCAGGCCCGUCGCAAGCUAGGUCAGUUCAUACCCGGAGGUGUUACGGACCCGGUGCCGUCCCCGGGCCUGGCCAGCUGUUGGCCGACGGUGUCCUCUGACUGUGUCCAUUUACCGGUCGGCGACGCUAUUGCUUUGGGUACUCUCAGGACCCGUCUUGAAACACGGACCAAGGAGUCUAACAUGUGCGCGAGUCAUUGGGAUCGAUAUUUGAAACCUAAAGGCGGAAUGAAAGUGAAGGU